rnacentral:rRNA from 1 species
GCAGUAGCCGCGGUAAUACGUAGGGUGCGAGCGUUAAUCGGAAUUACUGGGCGUAAAGCGUGCGCAGGCGGUUUUGUAAGACAGGCGUGAAAUCCCCGGGCUCAACCUGGGAAUGGCGCUUGUGACUGCAAAGCUAGAGUGCGGCAGAGGGGGAUGGAAUUCCGCGUGUAGCAGUGAAAUGCGUAGGUAUGCGGAGGAACACCGAUGGCGAAGGCAAUCCCCUGGGCCUGCACUGACGCUCAUGCACGAAAGCGUGGGGAGCAAACAGGAUUAGAUACCCCCGUAGUCCCUGUCUCUUAUAC